GACGAACGCUGACGGCGUGCUUAACACAUGCAAGUCGAAGGGAGUGGCGAACGGGUGAGUAACAAGUGAGUAACCUGCCCUUUUCUUUGGGAUAAGCCUGGGAAACUGGGCCUAAUACGGGAUGGAUUGGGAUGGGCGCGCGGCUUAUCAGCUUGUUGGUGGGGUGAUGGCUUACCAAGGCUUUGACGGGUAGCCGGCCUGAGAGGGUGGUCGGUAACACUGGGACUGAGAUACGGCCCAGAGUCGUACGGUGGGCCGCAGUGUGGGAUAUUGCACAAUGGACGAAAGUCUGAUGCAGCGACGUCGUGUGGGGGAUGAAGGCCUUCGGGUUAUAAACUCCUUUCGCCCGCGGAAUGGUAGUGGGUAAAUAAGCGCCGGCUAACUACGUGCCAGCAGCCGCGGUAAUAC
rnacentral:rRNA from 1 species